rnacentral:rRNA from 1 species
UAGUCCACGCCGUAAACGAUGAGUACUAGAUAUUGGGGGAUUGACCCCUUCAGUGUCGUAGCUAACGCAUUAAGUACUCCGCCUGGGAAGUACGGUCGCAAGACUAAAACUCAAAGGAAUUGACGGGGCCCGCACAAGCGGUGGAUUAUGUGGUUUAAUUCGAAGCAACGCGCAGAACCUUACCUAGGCUUGAAAUCCCGAGAAGAUUGACUAAAAUUGAUUGUGCUCUUCGGAGAACUCGGUGACAGGCGCUGCAUGGCUGUCGUCAGCUCGUGUCGUGAGAUGUUGGGUUAAGUCUCGCAACGAGCGCAACCCCUAUCCUUAGUUGCCAGCAUUAAGUUGGGCACUCUAGGGAGACUGCCCGGGUUAACCGGGAGGAAGGUGGGGAUGACGUCAAGUCUCAUGGCCCUUAUGUCUAGGGGCUACACACGUAAUACAAUGGUGCAUACAAAGGGGAAGCAAGCAUGCGAGUGU